AAGAGUUCGUAGGUGGUUGAAAAAGUUAGUGGUGAAAUCCCAGAGCUUAACUCUGGAACUGCCAUUAAAACUUUUCAGCUAGAGUAUGAUAGAGGAAAGCAGAAUUUCUAGUGUAGAGGUGAAAUUCGUAGAUAUUAGAAAGAAUACCAAUUGCGAAGGCAGCUUUCUGGAUCAUUACUGACACUGAGGAACGAAAGCAUGGGUAGCGAAGAGGAUUAGAUACCCUCGUAGUCCAUGCCGUAAACGAUGUGUGUUAGACGUUGGAAAUUUAUUUUCAGUGUCGCAGCGAAAGCGAUAAACACACCGCCUGGGGAGUACGACCGCAAGGUUAAAACUCAAAUGAAUUGACGGGGACCCGCACAAGUAGUGGAGCAUGUGGUUUAAUUCGAAGAUACGCGCAGAACCUUACCAACACUUGACAUGUUCGUCGCGACUCUAAGAGAUUAGAGUUUUCGGUUCGGCCGGACGAAACACAGGUGCUGCAUGGCUGUCGUCAGCUCGUGUCGUGAGAUGUUGGGUUAAGUCCCGCAACGAGCGCAACCCUCACUUUUAGUUGCCAUCAUUAAGUUGGGCACUCUGAAAGAACUGCCAGUGAUAAGCUGGAGGAAGGUGGGGAUGACGUCAAGUCCUCAUGGCCCUUACGUGUUGGGCUACACACGUGCUACAAUGGUAUCUACAACAGGAAGCAAGACUGCGAGGUCAAGCAAAUCCUUAAAAGAUACCUCAGUUCGGAUU
rnacentral:rRNA from 1 species